rnacentral:rRNA from 1 species
GACGAACCGUGCGAACGUUGUUCGGAAUCACUGGGCUUAAAGGGCGCGUAGGCGGUUCUCCAAGUCAGGGGUGAAAUCCUGCGGCUUAACCGUAGAAGUGCCUUUGAUACUGGAGAUCUCGAGGGAGGUAGGGGUCCGUGGAACUUCUGGUGGAGCGGUGAAAUGCGUUGAUAUCAGAAGGAACGCCGGUGGCGAAAGCGACGGACUGGAUCUCUUCUGACGCUGAGGCGCGAAAGCUAGGGGAGCAAACGGGAUUAGAUACCCCGGUAGUCCUAGCCCUAAACGUUGGGUACUAGAUUGUAAACUAACAUGGGUCUACAGUCGAAGCAAAAGUGUUAAGUACCCCGCCUGGGGAGUAUGGUCGCAAGGCUGAA